GCCUUCGUGGUGUAGUGGUCAGCACACUCGCAGCGUAUUCGAGAGGUCCACGGUUCGAGUCCCAGCGAGGGCA
rnacentral:tRNA from 1 species